GGGGAAUCUUGCGCAAUGGGCGAAAGCCUGACGCAGCGACGCCGCGUGCGGGACGAAGGCCUUCGGGUCGUAAACCGCUUUCAGCAGGGACGAUAGUGACGGUACCUGCAGAAGAAGCCCCGGCCAACUACGUGCCAGCAGCCGCGGUAAUACGUAGGGGGCGAGCGUUGUCCGGAUUUACUGGGCGUAAAGAGCUCGUAGGCGGUUUGGUAAGUCGGGUGUGAAAUCUCCAGGCUCAACCUGGAGCGGCCACUCGAUACUGCCAUGACUAGAGUUCGGUAGAGGAGUGUGGAAUUCCCGGUGUAGCGGUGAAAUGCGCAGAUAUCGGGAGGAACACCCGUAGCGAAGGCGGCACUCUGGGCCGACACUGACGCUGAGGAGCGAAAGCGUGGGGAGCGAACAGGAUUAGAAACCCGGGUAG
rnacentral:rRNA from 1 species